AUUGAACGCUGGCGGCAGGCCUAACACAUGCAAGUCGAACGAGGGGCGGACGGGUGAGUAAUGUCUGGGAAACUGCCCGAUGGGGGGGGAUAACUACUGGAAACGGUAGCUAAUACCGCAUACCAUCGGAUGUGCCCAGAUGGGAUUAGCUAGUAGGUGGGGUAACGGCUCACCUAGGCGACAAUCCCUAGCUGGUCUGAGAGGAUGACCAGCCCAACUGGAACUGUGACACGGUACAGACUCCUACGGGAGGCAGCCGUUGGCAAUAUUGCACAAUGGGCGCAAGCCUUAUGCCGCCAUGCCACGUGUAUGAUGAAGGCAUUCGGGUUGUAAAGUACUUUCAGCGAGGAGGCGUUACUCUCAGAAGAAGCAACGGCUAACUCCGUGCCAGCAGCCGCGGUAAUUC
rnacentral:rRNA from 1 species